rnacentral:rRNA from 1 species
UGGGGAAUCUUAGACAAUGGGCGCAAGCCUGAUCUAGCCAUGCCGCGUGAGUGACGAAGGCCUUAGGGUCGUAAAGCUCUUUCGCCAGAGAUGAUAAUGACAGUAUCUGGUAAAGAAACCCCGGCUAACUCC